rnacentral:lncRNA from 1 species
UUGUUUUCAAAUACCCCGUUAUUGUAGAAUUCUUUUACCAGCUUCGGGUAGAUCAAUGUGUCUGUACCCAAGGCUUCUUCAAGACCUACCUUCUUCAGUAGCGACAAAGUCUUGUGAAAUUGGGGUUUAGCUAUUUUGAACUCGUCAAAGCAAAGUCUGUAGCCGGAGAUAACACUGGAAGCCGCCAUUGAUUUUCUUGCAGGAAGUGUGAUUUACUGAGCUUUCUAGACAGCUUAGGGUUUCUUCUUGCAGAGAUAAGGAGAUGGAUAAGCUUUUGAUCUUCUGAUUUCAAAAGGGCAACUUCAAAUGGUACAAGUAACUUCCCAUCCUCCAUUUUGCUUAGUGGGACAGGUGUCGAAUUCUGUUUGGCUCUACGAAUUUGACAGAGAAGGAUUGUACUGAAUUACCCUUGACUUUUUCUGGGCUAAUAUGUUCUUCGGGAGGACUACGAUCGUUGAAAUGGUCCUUGUAAUCAUCGAGUCUGUUCUACCAUCAUUGAGUUUGUUCAGCAGUCGUCGUGUCUGAGCUGCAAUCGUAGAGUCUGAACUGUGAUCGUCGAGUCUGACUAGCAAUCGUAGAGUCUGACCAAGUCCUCACGAUGAACUUUUGACUUAGCAUUCUUCUUGGUUUAAG